UACAGAGGGUGCGAGCGUUGUCCGGAAUCACUGGGCGUAAAGGGCGCGUAGGCGGUCUCUUAAGCGUGUGGUGAAAGCCCGGGGCUCAACUCCGGGUCGGCCGUGCGAACUGGGAGACUGGAGCUUGUCAGAGGCAGGCGGAAUUCCGGGUGUAGCGGUGGAAGUGCGUAGAGAUCCGGAAGAACACCGGUGGCGAAGGCGGCCUGCUGGGACAGUGCUGACGCUGAGGCGCGACAGCGUGGGGAGCAAACAGG
rnacentral:rRNA from 1 species